ACAUAUCUGAAGUGUUUAGUGGAGCAAAA
rnacentral:piRNA from 1 species